UGAAAAAUUUAGCCUUAUAAAAGCUUCCUUGCACCAAUUUCUUCUGCCUAUUUCACACGCACAAACACACACAGAGCUUCGAAGGAGCAGGUGCUUGCAUUGAUUUUCUAGUACUGCUGCUAGAGGAGGCAUCCAAAGGGAUCGCAUUGAUCCAGACUCUCUUUCAUAACUUAGGGUUUUUUUUUUUUUUUUUCAUUUUUCAUUUUUAUUUAUUUAUUCCAAGUUUAUGCAGAAUUUGGAUCAUGCUAUCCCUUUGGAUACUUCCUUUGGUAGCUUCUUCUAACAUGGUAUAUAAUUAUAUAUAUACUCUUGUAUAUAUGGUGCACACUACUCUCCUAUGAUAUCAUGCAACUCAUUUCUGAUCCAUCUGGGCACAGAGACAGACAAUUUUCUUAUACAAACAUCUUCAACCAAUCUGCAGAUUUUGACGAAGUUAUGGGUGGUGAUGAUGGCCAUGGUGGUGGAGCUGUGGGGGUAUUGUUGUAGUAGUAAUAGGCUGGCGACGGCGUUAGUGGUGUGGUAGCUUGUAAUGGCUGUGAUGAUACUAUUUCUUGUGAAAUGCAGCAAGCAAGACACGAUGAUUAACGGAGAUGAAGCCAAUACAAGCAUCCAACUAAAGAUUGCUUCAAACAAAAAUGAUAGCACCAAACACAUCAGAUAGAUUUCCAUUUUCAAGCCUAGUUUCUGAAUUUCUCACCAAGUUGUUUACAAAUGCCUCAAAUACCAGCCCGGACCUUCUCUUCAAAAUCAUGAUAAAUACGAGAUAAUCAUUGCCUCAAGGCACAUCACUGAUCAAUUAUUAAGACAAAAGCAAUUCCUUGUCACAUCA